rnacentral:rRNA from 1 species
CCUACGGGAUGCUGCAGUGGGGGAUAUUGCACAAUGGGGGGAACCCUGAUGCAGCGACGCCGCGUGGGUGAAGAAGCGCCUCGGCGCGUAAAGCCCUGUCAGCAGGGAAGAAAAUGACGGUACCUGAAUACGAAGCCCCGGCUAACUACGUGCCAGCAGCCGCGGUCAUACGGAGGGGGCAAGCGUUAUCCGGCUUUACUGGGUGUAAAGGGGGCGCAGACGGCGAUGCAAGCCAGGAGUGAAAGCCCGGGGCCCAACCCCGGGACUGCUCUUGGAACUGCGGGGCGGGAGUGCAGGAGAGGCAGGCGGAAUUCCUGGUGUAGCGGUGAAAUGCGUAGAUAUCAGGAGGAACACCGGUGGCGAAGGCGGCCUGCUGGACUGCAACUGACGUUGAGGCCCGAAAGCGUGGGGAGCAAACAGGAUUAGAUACCCGAGUAGUC